GCGGACGGCUCAGUAAAUCAGUUAUAAUCCGUUCGAAAGUAAACCCAUUGGAUAACCGUGGGAAAUCUAGAGCUAAUACAUGCAUAAAAAGUGUCUGGUAGCAAUGCUGGGCAUUAGCAUUUAUUAGAAAAAACCAACUGAUUGUAGGUGGUGGCGACAUUGUCUGCAAUUGAGGUGAAUCUAGAUAACUGAGCUAAUCGCAUAGCCUUGAGCUGGCGAUGUUUCGAUCGAAUUUCUGCCCUAUCAACUUGUUGGUAAGGUAGUGGCUUACCAAGGUUGCAACGGGUAACGGGGGAUCAGGGUUCGAUUCCGGAGAGGGAGCCUGAGAAACGGCUACCACAUCCAAGGAAGGCAGCAGGCGCGCAAAUUACCCAAUCCAGACAAUGGGAGGUGGCGACCAGAAGUACUGGGUAGUGGAUGAAUAUCCACUAAUCCCGGAAUGAGCAUAAAGUAAAAAUUUAGUCGAGUAACGACUGGAGGGCAAGUCUGGUGCCAGCAGCCGCGGUAAUUCCAGCUCCAGUAGUGUGUCGUAAAGUUGUUGCGUUUAAAACGCUCGUAGUUGGAUUAUACAGCAUCGUGUAGUUAGUACAUGUAAAAGGGGCAAUUGAGCAUUAUUAUAGGGAUAAUGCAGUUAGUUCUGUAUUAUUACGUAAUAGUGUUGCCAUUUGAGUGUAUUUUGUGCUAAACGAUGCUAGUUACACGUAAGAAUGAUGAUUGGCCUUUGGUGCGUUGGUCAUUGUGUCUUGCGGAGUGUGCCUUGAAAAAAUCAGAGUGCUUAAAGCAGGCUUGUGCCUGAAUGAUAUAGCAUGGUAACGAACAAUCGUGUAAAGUGUAUGUUGGUUUAUGUGCAUGUAAGUGUGUAUAAGUUGGUAUACACAUCACCAACCGCCAUGUACGGAUGUUGGUUUCCGUAUUGGGGUGAUGAUUAAAACGAGCGGUUGGGGGCAUUGGUAUUUGGCCGCGAGAGGUGAAAUUCUUAGACCGGCCAAGGACUAACAAAAGCGAAGGCAUUUGCCAAGACCGUUUCGAUUAAUCAAGAACGAAAGUGAGCGGAUCGAAGACGAUCAGAUACCGUCCUAGUGCUCACACUAAACCAUGCCAACCCGGGAUUAGCUUAGAGCAUAAAUAUGGCUCCAGGUUGGUCCCCCUGGGAAACCUCAAGUGUUUGGGUUACGGGGGGAGUAUGGUCGCAAGGCUGAAACUUAAAGGAAUUGACGGAAGGGCACCACCAGGGGUGGAGCCUGCGGCUUAAUUUGACUCAACACGGGAAAACUCACUCGGGUAGUCCGUCAGAAGGAUAAUCCGAUUAAUAGCUCGUAUUUGAUUUGAACGUGUGGUGGUGCAUGGCCGUUCUUAGUUCGUGGGGUGAUUUGUCAGGUUCAUUCCGGUAACCGAGGCGAGCCGAUUCUCCAUUUACAGUACGUGAAAGAUUGUCUUGUAGCAA
rnacentral:rRNA from 1 species